rnacentral:rRNA from 1 species
AGUUUGAUCCUGGCUCAGAUUGAACGCUGGCGGCAGGCCUAACACAUGCAAGUCGAGCGGUAGAGAGAAGCUUGCUUCUCUUGAGAGCGGCGGACGGGUGAGUAAUGCCUAGGAAUCUGCCUGGUAGUGGGGGAUAACGUUCGGAAACGGACGCUAAUACCGCAUACGUCCUACGGGAGAAAGCAGGGGACCUUCGGGCCUUGCGCUAUCAGAUGAGCCUAGGUCGGAUUAGCUAGUUGGUGGGGUAAUGGCUCACCAAGGCGACGAUCCGUAACUGGUCUGAGAGGAUGAUCAGUCACACUGGAACUGAGACACGGUCCAGACUCCUACGGGAGGCAGCAGUGGGGAAUAUUGGACAAUGGGCGAAAGCCUGAUCCAGCCAUGCCGCGUGUGUGAAGAAGGUCUUCGGAUUGUAAAGCACUUUAAGUUGGGAGGAAGGGCAUUAACCUAAUACGUUAGUGUUUUGACGUUACCGACAGAAUAAGCACCGGCUAACUCUGUGCCAGCAGCCGCGGUAAUACAGAGGGUGCAAGCGUUAAUCGGAAUUACUGGGCGUAAAGCGCGCGUAGGUGGUUUGUUAAGUUGGAUGUGAAAUCCCCGGGCUCAACCUGGGAACUGCAUUCAAAACUGACUGACUAGAGUAUGGUAGAGGGUGGUGGAAUUUCCUGUGUAGCGGUGAAAUGCGUAGAUAUAGGAAGGAACACCAGUGGCGAAGGCGACCACCUGGACUGAUACUGACACUGAGGUGCGAAAGCGUGGGGAGCAAACAGGAUUAGAUACCCUGGUAGUCC